AGUGGCGAACGGGUGAGUAAUGCAUCGGAACGUGCCCAGUAGUGGGGGAUAGCCCGGCGAAAGCCGGAUUAAUACCGCAUACGACCUACGGGUGAAAGGGGGGGAUCGCAAGACCUCUCGCUAUUGGAGCGGCCGAUGUCAGAUUAGGUUGUUGGUGGGGUAAAAGCCUACCAAGCCUACGAUCUGUAGCUGGUCUGAGAGGACGACCAGCCACACUGGGACUGAGAGACGGCCCAGACUCCUACGGGAGGCAGCAGUGGGGAAUUUUGGACAAUGGGCGAAAGCCUGAUCCAGCCAUGCCGCGUGCGGGAAGAAGGCCUUCGGGUUGUAAACCGCUUUUGUCAGGGAAGAAAUGUUCUGGGUUAAUACCUCGGAAAAAUGACGGUACCUGAAGAAUAAGCACCGGCUAACUACGUGCCAGCAGCCGCGGUAAUACGUAGGGUGCAAGCGUUAAUCGGAAUUACUGGGCGUAAAGCGUGCGCAGGCGGUUUUGUAAGACAGAGGUGAAAUCCCCGGGCUCAACCUGGGAACUGCCUUUGUGACUGCAAGGCUUGAGUGCGGCAGAGGGGGAUGGAAUUCCGCGUGUAGCAGUGAAAUGCGUAGAUAUGCGGAGGAACACCGAUGGCGAAGGCAAUCCCCUGCGCCUGCACUGACGCUCAUGCACGAAAGCGUGGGGAGCGAACAGGAUUAGAUACCCUGG
rnacentral:rRNA from 1 species